CACGUAGGGGGCGAGCGUUGUCCGGAUUUAUUGGGCGUAAAGAGCUCGUAGGCGGUUCAGUAAGUCGGGUGUGAAAACUCUGGGCUCAACCCGGAGACGCCACCCGAUACUGCUGUGACUAGAGUCCGGUAGGGGAGUGUGGAACUCCUGGUGUAGCGGUGAAAUGCGCAGAUAUCAGGAAGAACACCAGCGGCGAAGGCGGCACUCUGGGCCGGUACUGACGCUGAGGAGCGAAAGCGUGGGUAGCAAACAGG
rnacentral:rRNA from 1 species